CUUUCAACAACGGAUCUCUUGGUUCUGGCAUCGAUGAAGAACGCAGCGAAAUGCGAUAAGUAAUGUGAAUUGCAGAAUUCCGUGAAUCAUCGAAUCUUUGAACGCACAUUGCACCCUCUGGUAUUCCGGGGGGUAUGCCUGUUCGAGCGUC
rnacentral:rRNA from 1 species